GUACCCGUAGCUCAAUCGGAUAGAGCACCUGACUACGGAUCAGGAGGUUGGGGGUUCGACUCCUCCCGGGUACGCCA
rnacentral:tRNA from 1 species